rnacentral:rRNA from 1 species
CCUACGGGAGGCAGCAGUAAGGAAUAUUGGACAAUGGCCGCAAGGCUGAUCCAGCCAUGCCGCGUGCAGGAUGACGGUGCUCUGCAUUGUAAACUGCUUUUGUUCGGGAAUAAACCUCUUCACGUGUGAGGAGUUGAAUGUACCGAAAGAAUAAGGGACGGCUAACUUCGUGCCAGCAGCCGCGGUAAUACGAAGGUCCCAAGCGUUAUCCGGAUUUAUUGGGUUUAAAGGGUGCGUAGGCGGGUUAUUAAGUCAGUGGUGAAAGCUCCCAGCUCAACUGGGAAACUGCCAUUGAUACUGAUAGUCUUGAGUAUGAUUGAAGUGGGCGGAAUGUGUCAUGUAGCGGUGAAAUGCUUAGAUAUGACACAGAACACCGAUUGCGAAGGCAGCUCACUAAGCCAUAACUGACGCUGAUGCACGAAAGCGUGGGGAGCAAACAGGAUUAGAUACCCUGGUAGUCCACGCCCUAAACGAUGAUCACUCGAUGUGUGCGAUAAACUGUACGCGUCCAAGCGAAAGCAUUAAGNGAUCCCACGNGGAGACGACGCGAGUAGAGACAANAGAGUUAGAGGNGNGAGAGNGCGACGGACGACGAGAGGGAGAG